rnacentral:rRNA from 1 species
AGCAGCCGCGGUAAUUCCAGUUCCAAUAGCGUAUAUUAAAGUUGUUGCAGUUAAAAAGCUCGUAGUUGAAUUUCGAGACCGGUUUAUUGGUCGUGCUUUUGUACGUACUGGUAUUAUUGGUUUCUCCUUUCUGACGAAUCUUAAUGCCAUUAAUUUGGUGUUUUGGGGAAUCAGGACUGUUACUUUGAAAAAAUUAGAGUGUUUAAAGCAGGCUCACGCUUGAAUACAUUAGCAUGGAAUAACGGAAUAGGACGUUUGAUUCUAUUUUGUUGGUUUCUAGGAUCGACGUAAUGAUUAAUAGGGAUAGUUGGGGGCAUUAGUAUUCAAUUGUCAGAGGUGAAAUUCUUGGAUUUAUUGAAGACUAACUACUGCGAAAGCAUUUGCCAAGGAUGUUUUCAUUAAUCAAGAACGAAAGUUAGGGGAUCGAAGACGAUCAGAUACCGUCGUAGUCUUAACCAUAAACUAUGCCGACUAGGGAUCGGAUGAUGUUAAUUUUUAAUGACUCAUUCGGCGCCUUACG